GAGGAACAAUUGGAGGGCAAGUCUGGUGCCAGCAGCCGCGGUAAUUCCAGCUCCAAUAGCGUAUAUUAAAGUUGUUGCAGUUAAAAAGCUCGUAGUUGAAUUUCUGAUUAUGGAUGUAGCGGUUUCCGUUACAUUUGUAGUCAUCCACAUGAGAACCUUUCUCGGCCUUCACUGGUCGGUUGGGGGAUCAUGUACUUUACUUUGAAAAAAUACAGAGUGUUUCAGGCAGGCGUUUGCAUGAAUACACAAGCAUGGAAUAAUGGAAUAGGACUAGGGUCCAUUUUAUUGGUUAUUGGACCAUAGUAAUGAUUAAUAGGGACAGUUGGGGGCAUUAGUAUUUAAUUGUCAGAGGUGAAAUUCUUGGAUUUAUUAAAGACUAACUUAUGCGAAAGCAUUUGCCAAGGAUGUUUUCAUUAAUCAAGAACGAAAGUUAGGGGAUCAAAGACGAUCAGAUACCGUCCUAGUCUUAACUAUAAACUAUACCGACUAGGGAUUGGUUGGGUCAUUAGAGCCCAAUCAGCACCUUAUGAGAAAU
rnacentral:rRNA from 1 species